AGUCUAACCUGAGAUGACAUCUACUGUAUUGAUCUAAUCAGUUGAACGUCUGCCCAGCUUUAAUCAGGUGGUGCUAGAUUAAACCUGCAAUAAUUGUUUUGGCCACUUGGGGGCAGCGGAAACAAGUUGUGAACACCACAUUGACAUACCAUCACCUUUUAAUUUGAUAUGGCGAACUUGUUGAUUUACAUGCCCAGCAGUUAGAGAGCAACGCUAUUACUCAUUUAGAAUCGUGUUCGUGGCCACCUGAUGUAUUGAGUCAGUAGUGGGUGGCUGCCAACUAAAAUCUAUAUCACAAUCAUUGCUGGAUGAUCGUGGCCCUGAGUCAGUUGAUGGUUUGCUCUCUGGCGCUGGAGUGGAACCAUGAAAAGGACCUCCGCUACUCCUGACGACCUUAUGGAGGAGUGGGAGCCUUUGUUGCUCGCCCCUGCAGACGCUGUUUUCCGAGGUUUUGGGAUUGGCCUGUUGCUGUUGCUGCUGCUGUGUCUGACAACGCAGUAUCCCUCAGUU